rnacentral:rRNA from 1 species
GACGAACGCUGGCGGCGUGCCUAAUACAUGCAAGUCGAACGCUGAAGAGAGGAGCUUGCUCUUCUUGGGUGAGUUGCGCACGGGUGAGUAACGCGUAGGUAACCUGCCUUGUAGCGGGGGAUAACUAUUGGAAACGAUAGCUAAUACCGCAUAACAAUGGAUGACACAUGUCAUUUAUUUGAAAGGGGCCAUUGCUCCACUACAAGAUGGACCUGCGUUGUAUUAGCUAGUAGGUGAGGUAAUGGCUCACCUAGGCGACGAUACAUAGCCGAACUGAGAGGGUGAUCGGCCACACUGGGAGGGAGACACGGCCCAGACUCAUACGGGAGGCAGCAGGAGGGAAACUUCGGCAAUGGGGGCAAACCUGAGCGAGAAAGGCCGAGGGAGGGAAGAAGGAUGUCGGAUCGUAAAGCUCGGUUGUAAGUCAAGAACGGGUGUGAGAGUGGAAAGUUCACAGUGUGACGGUAGCUUAUCAGAAAGGGACGGCUAACUACGUG